AGGCUCAAGCUAUUUCGACAUUUGGUUUUGCACCCGAUGAUGAUGCCCUUCAUGCCUGCUGGUAAAGUUGGUGUGAAGCUGACCUCAUACUUGGUUCGUGUAGUUAUUCUUGGAACUUCGUUCUUCAUUUAUGGGACUAUUGGAUUCUUCGGCGCAGCAAGGUACGGCAGCCUUACAUCCGAAAACAUACUGGAGAACAAAUGGCUUGGCGGUGGUGUACGACAUAACUUAGCAAUGCCGAGUAUCAGCCUUUGAAAACUUUUAAAAAUUUCUUCACUUAUUGGAUGCUGUUCUUUUACAGUAUAGCUUGCUUUUGCAAUUCCAACUAUGGAGUUUCCAACUCGCUACACAAUCAACAGUUGGAUUCCUGGUGAUAAGACUUCUUACGCCAUUUGUAUAUAUCAGUUGGGAUCCUUGUUUUCUGCACAGGCAUCAGUCUCAUAUCGCCUAACAAUUCAGGCGCUGUCAUCACAAUUACAGGGUGUUUUCAUAGUAAACCAUUUCAUGCCGUUCUUUCAAAGAGCAAAAUGUCAGAAGCAGGAAUGUUUUGAACUAUAGAAAGGAUACCUGGUAUUCAAGAGGUGGUGCUUCCUGCUUUUGUUAUUGCCGUUACGUUGCAGCCCUAAACCACACUGUAAAACGUCAACAAAUGUAAGCAACAGUUACAUUUCCUUCCUGACAUUGUUUUCUAUUUUCCUUACUCUCGAGCUCUCGGAAUCAUUGGCGAUCCAUUCUUGAUGGCUAGAGUCAUGUUCAUACUGUAACGGUCUGAUACUUGAAACUUUGGCAACAGAGCAGCUACCAGAGAGUUCAUUUGCAGCAUAGCCAUAGACAGGCUGUCUGCCAAGCCAGCCGAAAGGGCCGAGGCGUCGUCAAAGUCGUCCACGAAAGACAUAUUGCCGCGCUCGAGAAGCCCAUCACCGGCAGCAUCGAGCAGUCCCGUGACGCCCAGGGCCUUGCCUCCCAGGCUCGCCGACGACCUCAAGCUCCAGCUAGAAAAGGGGGAGAUGCUCAAGAGUUCCAUCCCGGCAAAUGCUGGAUCAGCAGCAGCAGCAGCAGCACCGAGGCAGUGGAUUGGUGUGUAGAGGCGGUGGAGAUGAUUCGCAGUGCCAAUUUUUAAAAGUUUUGGACAGUGGAAGGCAGCAGUAGCAAGCUAAGAACAGGAUGGCGUGCAAUUCGUAAAAGGGUGGGUCUUACAACGGACACCACAUGUUGUAUUAUGAGUGAAAAAAACACAAGCAUAGAAUAU